AAGUGAAACUGUUUAGGUCGCAGAACAGCAAAGUAAUAAUAUGCUAAACUACCGACCGUCCCUAGAGCAAGUGGCAAAAGGUUUGGUGGUUGGUAUCCGAGACCCAAGUUCGAAUCCUAGUUGCUUCACAUUUUCAGCUAAAUUUAUUUCUAAAUGAAAUAAACGAAACGGAUAGCGUGCUACCUAUCUCUCAAAAAAAAAUAAUAUACUAAACUACACUGGGAAAGUUUUUUUUUUUUUUUUUUUUUUUUUUUUAUCCAUUUCACUAAUUUUUUUUCGUUAAAUCAGUGACAAAGUUAAAACUAAAGGGUACUAAAGUGAAUAUUCGAUAAACCUAAGUNUAUAUAAUUUUGGGUAAACUUCAAAUACCACCCCUAUGGUUUCGUACUUUCUCACUUUAAUAUUUUAUAGUUUAAAGUGUAUCAAUUUAGUAUUAUGUGGUUUUAUUUUUCUCUUUUCGUCAAUCCCUCCGUUAGGUUUUCAUUAAAUUAUAUACAAAAAAACUUCAGAUACCCUAUCUAUAGUUUAUUGAAAAUUUACUUUAGUACUCUUUAAUUUUAACUUUGUCGCUGAUUUAACGAAAAUAAUUAGUGAAAGGAGAUAAUAUUUCAAAUAAAAAUAAAACCUCAAAUGGAGCCAUUACAAAAAAUAAAAAGAAAAAAAAAGGAAAAAAAAACAAAGACAAUAGUUAACAUAGGAAUUGAUCAAAACCUAAACGAUUCCACAUAACGCUUAAGAUGAGUAUUUAUUUCUUAUUUUAAACAGGAAAAAUUAUUUGAUACUUAACAUUUUUGUUUUAUUAGCACGAGUCCACUGGGAGUGGCACUAAUCCCAGUAACCCGUGAACGCAUAGUACGGCUUGGUUUUUAAUUUACAUAUAGGGAUGCAAACGGAUUCGGAUUGGUAAAUUCGGAAUAAAAAACUGGGUAAAUUUUAUAAUUUGAGACGGAUUCGGGGCAGAAAACGAAAGAAAUUUUGACUCGCCCCAAAUCCAUCCCGAAUCUACCCCGUUAUGAUCCGUCCCGAAAAUUAUUUAUAUUUCUAAAAAAUAAAGUAUUUAUAAAAAAAUUUUAAAAUACAAAUAAAUUAGUGCUCUUAUUUCUCAUGCAUUUGAAAUGAAUUGUGAUUAAUAUUUUUUAUUUUUAUAAUUAAUAUUGUUAAUUAUACAUAUAAUAUUAUUAAAAUAUUAAUUUAUAUUUUCUAAAGUAUUAAUAAUAUUAUAAUUUUAUAAAAAAUAUUAGUUGGCGGGGCGCGCGGGAGGCGAUUUACGAAGCGGGACGGAUUAUGGGAUAUAUUUUUUAACCCGUCACGAAUUCGGGAUGGGAGACGGGGCGGGAUUUUGAUAGUCGGGGAGGGUUCGCCCCCAUAUUCGCCCCGUUUGCAUCCCUAUUUACAUGAAGGUGAAAGUUCAUAAAAUUUACUAUUUAAUUUUAGAAAAUUUUAAUUUUAGUAUCUAAUAUUUUAAUUUAUUUGAUUUCCAUUAUUCGAUGGCUCUUCGAGCAUAAAAUUUAAGCUCAUUAUUUAUUUUAAUAAAUUUAUAGUUACGUAAGUUGCGUAAAAUAUAUAAACUAAAUCCGUAAAGAUAAACGGGCCGUUCAAAUUUUGAACUGACUCAAAUUAAAUAAAUUAAGAGAUUAAAUAGUAAAAUUAGGUUAGUUAGUUAGAUCAAAAUGGGUGAUAGUUGAGAUAAAUUUUACUCAUUUUUAUCUAAAAUAAAUUAAAAAAAACAUUAUACUGUAUAGAUCUAUUGCAGAUCAAUUUUGUCGCAUAAAUUAGCAAAGAUUUCAAUACUAACAUGAUAAUUUUUAGAAAUAUUAUAAAAAAAAACCAAACACUCACUGAAAUUUAGCACUUUUGCAAACAGAUCAAUUUAAGUUAUUAAUUAUACAACUAUUUUGGUUGCUUUUGUUGCGCAUAAUCUUAUAAACCUUUUGAAUUAAACAACAAAGAAAUCUUUUUUAAAAAAAUUCUAGCUUGUGGAAAAAAGAAUAUAAAUUAAAAGUAAAUUCACAUUAUUCUUCAAUAAUGAUACUUAAUUAUCAUAACUAGAAGUAAAAAAAAAAUUGUUGUGUUUUAAUGUUAUAANCUUAGCAGCUAGCCGAGGCAAUUUGAACUAGAUCUCAUAAACUUCAUGGAUCUUUUAUUUAAAAUACUAAAAUGCUAUAAUAAACGAAUCACUUGCUUCCCCGAGUUUUAGUUGCCAACUUUUAUUUUUAGAAUGUUUUACAUUAUUAUACUGUAAUUUUAAAAUUUAGUUUCUAUAACUAGAACAAAAUAUAUCAUAUUUCUUAAAAGAUAGUUUUAAAGUGCACUAAACCUAUAAAGAAAGUCGCAACAUCGAAAACGAGCUGGAAGCACGGAAGGCUCCGUGCUUCCGAUAGCAUAGUAGCCACACUCAUAUAAAAUUAUGUGCAAGAUAUUUGAUUGAAACAACUGUUCAAUUGGUAACUUUGCUCGAGGAGAGGGGACCUAUUAAACUAUUUGAUAACAUUUAAGAUUUCUAAUUAUCAAAAUUAAAAGUUCGGACGCUUAUAUGCGAAAGUGCUAAAGUUCAAGAGGUCUUUAUGCUUUGUUUUUUUCUAAUGAAUUAUUCUUGUAUUUGUGGAUCGUAAACUUUAACCAACAAUUCUAAAAUGUCGAUAUGAAAGAAAGGGCGCACCGUCCAUCACACUUAAAAUGUAUAGAUGCAUAGCGCACACAUCACAUUUUAAGAUAAUUAUUUGCUUUAAUAUAUUUAUAGUUAUAAAAAUUGUAUAAAAUAUGUUAAAUCUGUAAAAAUAAACGACGCAUUCAAGUUUUGAAGUCAAAAUACCGUUGACUAAUUCUUUUUUUUUUUUUUUUUGAGAGAGAGAUAGGUAGCAUGCUAUCCGCUUCGUUUAUUUCAUUUAGAAAUAAACUUAGCUGGAAAUGUGAAUCAGUUAGGAUUCGAACUUGGGGCUCGGGUACCAACCACCAAGCCUUUUGCCACUUGCUCUAAGGACGGUCCGUCCGUUGACUAAUUCAAAUUAAAUAAAUUGAAAUGUUGGAUGGUAAAUCAAAAUUAAAAAAAAUUAUGUAACUAAAUCAAAAUGAUCCAUACAUUUAGGUAAGUCCCUUAAGUGUUUACUAUUAUAUAAUAGUAUUGAUCGGCUCGCAAAAUAUGUUUACGAAAUCAAAUUUCUAACUUUUAAUCACCAAAAUGAGUUAAAAAAAUUAUUAUCAAAUAAUUUAUUCUGAUAUUUAAACAUUGAUAAAUAGGAAACACAAAAGUUUUUUUUUUUUGAUAAACUUCAAAUACCCCUUGUGGUUUCACACUUUCUCACUUUAGUACCCUGUGUUUUAAAGUGUAUCAUGUUAGUCCCUAUGGUUUCGCACUUUCUCACUCUAGUUUCUUUUUUUUUUUUUAUCCAUUUCACUAAUUUUUUUUCGUUAAAUCAGUGACAAAGUUAAAACUAAAGGGUACUAAAGUGAAUAUUCGAUAAACCUAGAUAAGGUACCUGAAGUUUUUUGUAUAUAAUUUAAAGAAAUAUUAAUAGAGGAGCCGACGAAAAGAAAAAAAAUGAAACCACAGAAUACUAAAUUGAUAUACUUUAAACCAGAGAAUACUAAAAUGAGAAAGUGUGAAACCACAUAGUACUAAAUUGAUACACUUUAAAUUACAGAAUACUAAAGUGAAAAAGUACAAGACCACAUAGGUGGUAUUUGAAAAUUUUUUUUUUUUUU
rnacentral:lncRNA from 1 species